rnacentral:SRP_RNA from 1 species
GCUGGACAUGGUGACGCGUGCCCAUAGUCCCGGCUACUCGGGAGGCUGAGGCUGGAGGAUCUCUUGAGUCCAGGAGUUCUGGGCUGUAGUGCACUAUGCAGAUCAGGUGUCCGCACUAAGUUCAGCAUCAAUAUGAUCAUCUCCCGGAAGCGGGGGGCCACCAGGUUACCUAAGGAGGGGUGAACCAGCCCAGCUUGGAAACCAAGCAGGUCAAAACUCCUGUGCUGAUCAGUCAUGGGAUCGCGCCUGUGAACAGCCACUGCACUCCAGCCUGGGCAACAUAGCGAGUCCCAGCCUCU